GAAAUGCGAUAAGUAAUGUGAAUUGCAGAAUUCAGUGAAUCAUCGAAUCUUUGAACCCACAUUGCGCCCGCCAGUAUUCUGGCGGGCAUGCCUGUUCGAGCGUCAUUUCAACCAUCAAGCCCCCGGCUUGUGUUGGGGACCUGCGGCUGCCCGCAGGCCCUGAAAAACAGUGGCGGGCUCGCUGUCACACCGAGCGUAGUAGCAUACAUUCUCGCUCAGGGCGUGCUGCGGGUUCCGGCCGUUAAACGACCUUCAUAACCCAAGGUUGACCUCGGAUCAGGUAGGAAGACCCGCUGAACUUAAGC
rnacentral:misc_RNA from 1 species